UGAGGAAUAUUGGGCAAUGCCCGCAAGGGUGACCCAGCAACGCCGCGUGGAGGAUGAAUGUCGUAAGAUUGUAAACUCCUGUUAGAGGGGAAGAAUAGUACCGGUUGGACCGGUAUAUGACUGUACCCUCAGAGAAAGCACCGGCUAACUACGUGUCAGCAGCCGCGGUAAUACGUAGGGGGCAAGCGUUGUCCGGAUUUACUGGGUGUAAAGGGCGCGCAGGCGGGAUAAAAAGUCAGUGUUGAAAUCCUACAGCUUAACUGUAGAACUGCCUUUGAUACUUUUAUUCUUGAGGUCGGGAGUGAGAGACGGAAUUCCAGGUGUGGUGGUGAAAUACGUAGAUAUCUGGAAGAACACCA
rnacentral:rRNA from 1 species